UAUUGACUAUAUAAUAUAAUUAUAUAAUAUAACUUAAGCUACAAGUAUUGAUAUUAUUUAAUCUAAUUAAAUAUUUCGAUAAAACUUUCAAUGAUGAAACAAAAUUAAAGAAUUGCAAUACAACAGUAUCACAUACUAGAGAGGCAUAUAAAAGAAUUCAAGAAUUUAAUAGAUUAAAAAGAGCAAAACAACUUCUUGAUGCUAUUUCUUUUACAAAUGAAUUACUUGCAGAUGGUUCAGAUAUAGAAAUAUUGAGUCUUGCUAACAUAAUAAUAAAAAGAUUAAAAACUUUAGGAAUUUGUAAUAAUGUAUUAGAAAAUUCCUGUGAAGAUAUAAGGAACACAUUUAGAUCUCAUAUUGGUAUCUAUCAUUGUUAUACAUUUUGUUCAAGUGGUGGUAAGAAAGAAGUUAUUUGCGGAUGUGAAGAUUAUGCCUGGUGGAUAUAGAGGCUGUGGACAUGGUCAUCCUGGUAUACACCAUUGGUUUUGCUGUGGAUCAAUCUUUUGUUAUGGAUGUUGUUUAAGUUUUCAGAAAUAUCAAUUGUUAUUUUAAUGUUAUUAAUUUAAAAAUAAAUAUAAAUAUAUAU